GUAAUGGUUCAAAGCAAAGUUCGGUUAAAUAUGAUUUUAUUUUUAAAAUUCAUAAAACCCCCUUUGAAAAUAAAUCCUGGUUACGUCACUGUCUUUGUAUGUAGGUAUUCAGCACAGGAUUUAGGGAAUGGGUACUAUAAUCAUAGAGUAGCGCCAAUUCUUAAGAAAGGCUCAAGAAAAAAAAAAGGUACAAUUAUGUAGGUACCUGAUUUAAGAGUUAAUUUUAUGAUUCGCCGUAAGUGCUACACAUUUUACUGUAAUUAACACUGUAGACACCUGUAUGUACCUAAAAAUACUCAAAGUAGUAUAAGUUAUUUGAGAAAAAU